GUUUUUCAUAUCAAGGACUUGUCACUUUUGUUUUGUUCCCAAGUGUGAUUUUCUCGUUUUGAGAGUGGUAUAUAAAGGAGAACCUGCCUGCAUUGGAUUCAUAUUUGCUUAUUCUCCUGCAGUGAGUUAGCAAGUGAUCCUUCAAGAUGAACUUCUUGUUUGCCGUUCUUGUUCUGGUUGCCUUGGCCGUGUGCACUUUUGCACAGUGGCCAUACUACUACAACACCCACGCAGCUGCAUACCCCUAUGCCUACAACUAUGCUGCUUAUAACCCUGCUGGUCUUUACAACCCAGCUCUGUCAUACUACUGGAAGUGAAUAAAUGAAGAAAAUCAGAUUUCUUCUUUCCCGAUGGCAGCAAUUAUUUGACAAAUUGGAAAAAUACUUGGAAAUUUCUUUUUAUUUUCUUUUUCCUGUGUGUCUUCGAACAACCUUAUGUAAAAUCUGAUUCUGUCAUCCUUUAACUGUUAAUAAAUUUUGAAAAUGUGA